UGCAUGGUUGUCGUCAGCUCGUGUCGUGAGAUGUUGGGUUAAGUCCCGCAACGAGCGCAACCCCUAUUGUUAGUUGCCAUCAUUCAGUUGGGCACUCUAGCGAGACUGCCGGUAAUAAACCGGAGGAAGGUGGGAUGACGUCAAAUCAUCAUGCCCCUUAUGACCUGGGCUACACACGUGCUACAAUGGUUGGUACAACGAGUUGCGAGUCGGUGACGGCGAGCUAAUCUCUUAAAGCCAAUCUCAGUUCGGAUUGUAGGCUGCAACUCGCCUACAUGAAGUCGGAAUCGCUAGUAAUCGCGGAUCAGCACGCCCGCGGUCGAAUACGUUCCGGGCCUU
rnacentral:rRNA from 1 species